AUACGCAACACAUACAAUCCUAUAUUAAAAAUUUGCAAGAUGCUGAAGAUGGAUUUUUCUUUUUCCUACUUGCCCAUAUUCGGAAGUGACAAACACUAGAAAUCCUGCGACUAUUUUCCAGUUGACCUGGCUCAUAUAAAAGCAGCCAUCUGAACUAAAAGAAAAAACUAGACACAGCGUGGAGCCAUACCUUUUCUGCAGAGGAGCAGAUACUGACAGUGACCAAAAACUACAAUGUGUGGAAACUACUGCUUAGGAAGAAGUGUUUGCUGUGUGAAAGCCUACAGUAUGCAUACAUAGACGACCGAAGAACUUAGACAAGAUGGGAUACUUUCCUCAUAACCAAAUAACAUUUUUAGAAGCAGACUGCAUAGGAAAUACAUUUUAAUCCAGACUGAAGAAUAACUUCAGCAAUUUGUGUGCAAUGUGGCUGAAAUAUUUAUUUUGUAAACAGCCUGGACAGUUCAGAUUUUUAAGCAAUGUAGAUGUUAAGCACAACUUGGAACUUCUACACAAAUGCAAGCGAAUUAUACCCAGCUAUUGGCAGUAAAGAAGUUGCAAGAAAAAUGUAUAUGCAUUCUGCUCUGAGAUUUACUCUUAAAUAAACUGGCCUAAAGAUCA